GAUGAAGAACGUAGCGAAAUGCGAUAAGUAAUGUGAAUUGCAGAAUUCAGUGAAUCAUCGAAUCUUUGAACGCACAUUGCGCCCGCCAGUAUUCUGGCUGGCAUGCCUGUUCGAGCGUCAUUACAACCCUCAGGCCCCCGGGCCUGGCGUUGGGGAUCGGCGGAGCCCCCCGUGGGCACACGCCGUCCCCCAAAUGCAGUGGCGGUCCCGCCGCAGCUUCCAUCGCGUAGUAGCUAACACCUCGCGACUGGAGAGCGGCGCGGCCACGCCGUAAAACACCCAACUCUUCUGAAGUUGACCUCGAAUCAGGUAGGAAUACCCGCUGAACUUAAGCAUAUCAAUAAGCGGUGGA
rnacentral:misc_RNA from 1 species